ACAUCUAUAUAUUUUUCUAAAGAUUGCAAUGCAUGUGCGGAUGAUGAUGAAAAAGCAAAUGGAGGGAGGCAUUGUAGUUUAUUUUACAGCACCUGUCGAGUGUUGAUCUUGCGCCCAUUUUUCGUUCCACUGAAAAUACGAAGAGAAAUGGAUGGGCGGGUCACAGGUGUGCACACACGGCUGCUGGGUUGCGCCAAAAAAGCAGCACUUGAGCACGCGUAAUCAUUUCUAUUGACCUAUGCCGAGGAGUAGGAAAAAAAAAUGUCACCUCAUGGCCAAAUGUCGAGUCUCAAUCACGCACGCAAAACGGCUCACACAAAAUGUUGGGGAGUUGUAUUGACUUUGUUGAGAAGAGCGACGUAACCCUGCUGAUAAGGCUAUUAUCUCCUCAUUUUUCUGAUGACCGUACAAAUCUACUCGCAUAUUGUGUGUGUGUGUGGACUCACCGUUAACACAGACACACGCGGCGCGCUGAUUGCUCAUUAUACACAUAGUUACCUGCUACACAUCUUAUUUUCGUGUGUGUUAAAGAGGCACACGAGGCGCUCGGCGGUAGCCAAACGAUGGGCGAUAACGAACGCUUGUCGUGUUUGAACUAUUUGGCUUUCGUUUUGUUUUUUAUCUCUGCGCACGGGAUAAUGAAUAUUAGCUUACAGUCUUAUUCAAUUGCUUUGCAAACAAUCCAAAUAGGUGUCUAACGAGCUCCAUAAUCAUUGUUACUUUCGGGAUUACUAAAUAGCACAUGAAAAGCUUUUUAUUUCGUUUUCCAGGUGUCACAUUCCACUGUUGUUUUUUUAUUGCACGUAAUUAAUGCGUUGUAAAAUGCUCCUUUAAUUUAUCUACUGCAAUUUUUCGCUAAUGGGCCAUUUUGACUUUGGGAGAAAGUUAAAUCGUACGAUUUUUAAAGCUUUAAGAGAUAUACGCAGUACGUUUACUCACGCUUCGUAACAAUGUCAAUUCUGAAAUGAACUUUUGUGCGCAAAAGUCACAACAAAUCGAUUGAUUUCAAUAAGCCUAAUCCGGACUGUCCGGCCAAUUUCUAGUCCGAAUGGAUAGGCCUUUUCUAUCCGAUUGAGAAAAAAAAAACUCCAUUUGAAAUCAAUUUUACGGUCAAGAGUGCGGAAAAUUUUUGAUAAACUUUCCUACCUCUCUUUUUUUUUUUAUUGUACAUCGCUGUGAAAUUGGCUUUCAUUUCCGAAGCUGGAAGGGAGAGAGUGAAUAAUGUGCGCUUGCCUAUGAAUGUCCGCAUUAUCAGCUCGUUUCUUAUUCAAUGCUCGCGAAGCUUCGCUUGUUCGAUGUAUACAUUACACUUUAAUGCUCCGGUUGAGCGGCCAAAACCGAUUACAGUAUAUACACCCUCCCCUGACUGACUGAAAAACGUUGGUGACAAUAGCGUUUGAUCGAAAACGAGAGUCACGGCACAAACGCGAGCCAAACUCGCAGGUCAGCCGGCAGCAGAUGGCCCUUCAGUCCCGUCCCCCCCACCCUCCCCGUCUCUCUUUAACCAUAUUGAGCCUAUUACAAGCUACUAUUGACAUUAUAUUCACCCCCUUAUGCUACUAUAUAAUGCUCUCUCUCUUGUAUUCAGCAUACUCUGGCGGGGUGGCUUUUAGAUUGCCCCUUCCUCCGAUACUAGUUGCCACCAUUUAGCGCUAAUGAAAUUAUCAUAUCAAUCGACCGCAGCAACAUGCUUCGGUCGUCGCAUUUUUGCCACCAACCCAUUUGAUAUAAGAGAUCGGGCAACGAUCCAUUUGAUUCCCGACAACCCCACACUAUCCCGGGUCUUACUGUCAAAUGCUCCCUCUCUCCUAUACAAAUGGCGGAUGGAUCAUUAACUUGCCUCGUUUAUUCGCCAAAUUGAUUUCAAGAUUGACGAUCGUGUCGAAAUGAACUCUGCUUUUUAUCGACAGUUUGACAAACGUUUGAGCCCGGGCUCCAUUAUCGGCAAAGGGGAGAGAGAGAGAGGAAAGUAGUUCAAACUCGAUGUGUGUUAUGUUCAAACAACACCUGCUUAUCCAGGGGCGAGAAUUCUAUCACCCUUUAGUACAACCCUUUCUAUCCCCCGGUUGCUGAUGGUUAUCGAUACAAGGGUGAUAACCAAAGAUGAUUGCUUGAGUCAACUUGGUACUUAAACAUGCAACUAACCUGAGAGGUCGCCUCCGAAACGAUGGUAGAGGACGCCGGCCCUGGCCAGCCAUUCAAGAUGAGCUGAAUGGAACUGAUGGGCUGCGGGUGAGGAUGCGGCGACGGCAGCGGCUGCCGCGGCCGCCGCCGCGUGAAGAGCCGCUGCCGGACUGGUGAACAACGGGCCUGGAUAAUUGGCCACAUUUGCACCGCCACUGGAUGAUGUCGUCGACGAUGAUGAAGUCAAGAUGUUAGUGGUCGGAACUGUCUGACUGCCGGACGACGCCGGCGGGCCGUACAUCAUCCGAGCCAUUGAAUGAGGUUGAGUCCAACACGAAAUGUUGGCUUGCUGGACUAUUUGCUGGUCUCGUUCGUUGGCCGUUGCCGGACCGCCGUCUUCUUUAGUUGUGCUGCUGCCGCUACUCUGACGGCCGUCCGUCUCUUUCUCACCGUCGGCCGGCGUGGAGUCACUUGUUUUGCUGGCAGACACGGACUCGACCGACGUUUCGAACGAAGGAUAGUGAUGAUGAUGAAGCCCGCCAAACAGAUUCGAACGGAACCGAAGGGAUUCACCGUAACUGCUGACGAUGAGCUGUUGAUGUGCGGCCGCCUGAGCUGCAGCAGCAGCCGCGGAUGGUAAAGAAUCACUACCGGGAACUUUGUCCUGGGCCAAUAACGAGUCGAUGCAAAACGAUGUUUUACUCUUGCCGGACGCCAUAAUUCGGUUGAAGAUGAUGAACCGUUAUCCGCUGGCUCUCGUAAACGUAUAGCGGCCGGAACUGAGGUUGAGUAAAGGGCGACUGGGCCUGGAACCAUCACCUUUGGGGUAAGAGUACACACAUCGUGGAACCGAAAACGCAUAUGUAUAUAUAUUUUUCGUGUUCGUUCACAUGAGCGAAAAGGAGGGUUAAAGGUGGGGGGGGGGGUGUGCAGAGAAGGACAACACAGAAGAACCCGGAGGGGCGGAGUUUGGGCCAACUAGUCAUGACGGCCAGCCAGUAGAAUGAUAAAGCUUUGUCUCCCUUCUCUCCAAUCGCAGAGUACGACUCGCAUCCGAAUGGGAGUGGCUUAAGGAUCUACCAGCCGGACAAGAGACUUGUUCCUUUUCACCGGAUUGAUCUCUCAUCUCGGUGUGUACGUCAUUUUCCCCAACUUUUUUUCAUUUCCGAUGACUCCAAUCACUACUUUUCUCAAAUGAUGGCUGUCAUUUUUCAACAUGGCUCUUCGUCUAUUCUUUUUAACCAGGGGGGCCUUAUUUGACACGAGACAGUGUAAGUACAGGGGGGGGGGGGAGGCUGACGUCCGGCUUUUUUAUAACUCGUUCUUUCUCUGUGGUCGGUGUAGGUUAAUCAGAUGCAUGAACAAGCUUGCAGCUUCACUUGCAUUAUGCUAAUGAAAUGGGUUUAGAGACAGCGGGUAGUUGAUUGAACCAACUUGCUUUGAGAUCGAGCAAACGGAGAGCAGCCGGGCAAAAAAACGGGGCGACACAUGUCGACAACAACAAAAAAGAGAGCCACAACAUGCAAACUUCUCUCGCGUUUAAUGACCGUGUCUUUGAACCCCGGGCUAAAAAGAAUGUCUUUCUCCUUGGCGUCGGAUAUAGGCCAUCAUAAAACACUACCGGCUGGCCGGGCCACUGUACACGUUUCGUGUCUUGUACAGCGCCAGCGCGUUGAGUGGAUUUUGAAAAAAAAAAAAAAAAGACUUGAGGUGUUUGCUUAACCGAAAAAAAAGGGGGGAGGAGAAGGUGGGGAGGGAGAAAGAAGAAGUGGAUGUUAAACGAGGGACUGGAUUUUUUUUUUUUUUUUUUUUCGUCCGGCCCCGUGUGUUUGCUUAGCGUCGGAUAAAACGCGGCUAACGAGAGCUAACGAGGUUGGCAGAGCAAGCUCUUUGCCGGCGGCCUUGAUUCGAUUAGACGCCAUUUGGUCUCGUCACCUAACAGCAUUAAGACUCGUUCGAUAAAAUCCAAAAAAGAAUUUGUAUAUUCCUUCCCCUCCUUUUUUUUAUUUUCUAUUCUUCCGUCUUUUGUUUUGUCUGCUGAUGCUACUGCAGUUUCAGCAUUGCGUUCAAAGUUGUGUGUUUAUCCAAUAGCAGUGAUGCAGACUUUUUGUGUGUCCCCUUGUGCUGUGCUCUAUUGCUGGUGGUGCGGAGAAGGACGCUUUUGGACGCUUUAGGGACGAGCUACGAAGUCUAAUCCGAUUGUGCGACUACUCUCUGUUGUAUAGUCGGUCGUCAUCGUUGUCGGACGCUCGGAAUAAUAAUCAAGUCAACAGUGGCCACCGGCGUGUUGCUGCUGUGCUUUGCUCUUCUCUCCUUUUCCGCUCUAAAGUAUCAUCGAAGACGGGACACACACACGCAAAAACUGAAUUGGAUUACUCUCGCUUUCCAACGCAUCGUUGAUUACAUUAAAGCCUCCUUUUCGCUUUCCUGGCUCGCU